GACGAACCGAGCGAACGUUGUUCGGAAUCACUGGGCUUAAAGGGCGCGUAGGCGGGUGCUCAAGUCUGUGGUGAAAUCCCUCCGGCUCGAACCGGAGAACUGCCAUGGAUACUGGGUGCCUCGAGGGUGGUAGGGGUAUGCGGAACUAUCGGUGGAGCGGUGAAAUGCGUUGAUAUCGAUAGGAACUCCGGUGGCGAAGGCGGCAUACUGGACCACUUCUGACGCUGAGGCGCGAAAGCUAGGGGAGCAAACGGG
rnacentral:rRNA from 1 species